CCAAUAGCGUAUAUUAAAGUUGUUGCAGUUAAAAAGCUCGUAGUUGAAUUUCGGGACUAGUACGCUGGUCAUGCCUUUGGUAUGUACUGGUGUUACUGGUUCCUACCUUCUGACGAACCGUCAUGUCAUUAAUUUGGUGUGGCGGGGAAUCAGGACUGUUACUUUGAAAAAAUUAGAGUGUUUAAAGCAGGCUCGCGCUUGAAUACAUUAGCAUGGAAUAAUGAAAUAGGACGUUCGAUCCUAUUUUGUUGGUUUCUAGGAUUGACGUAAUGAUUAAUAGGGAUAGUUGGGGGCAUUAGUAUUCAAUUGUCAGAGGUGAAAUUCUUGGAUUUAUUGAAGACUAACUACUGCGAAAGCAUUUGCCAAGGAUGUUUUCAUUAAUCAAGAACGAAAGUUAGGGGAUCGAAGACGAUCAGAUACCGUCGUAGUCUUAACCAUAAACUAUGCCGACUAGGGAUCGGAUGAUGUUAUUUUUAAUGACUCAUUCGGCGCCUUACG
rnacentral:rRNA from 1 species